UUCUGGGUGAGAAAACACGCGCUUCCUCUAGCACGACAUCACUCAGCUAAGUUGCAUCUACCGGCAACAUUCUGCUACUAACGGGGCCAAAAAAAGUUGGAAAGUAAAAUAAAAGGUCUCAUGAGGCUAUAGCUGACAAUGACAUGAUGAUAAAUUAGCGUCUAGAUAAUUUAGUUUCACGUCUACGUAUGCUAGCUUACAGCUGCUAUCUACAGUGUGUCAAGCUAACAUUAUGCUAAAUUUACGGUAAAUGUGAUGUAAAGGUUUCAGGCGAAAAGCGCAGCGAACUUUACCUUCAAACGUUGUGGGAGCGCACCAGGAAUUUCCUUGUUGUUUCUGUAACUCCGCCCUCGCUGGACCGGGGCUGGAUCCUGCGCUGCAGCGGGCACCGGUCAAAAACUCCGACUCCAUCGGCACAUAAACAGGACACCAUGGCCUGACUCUUCACCUGCACAUGUAAACGAGAACUCUGGAGUUUUUACCACAAGAUUCCUGUGUGUUGGAUAUGAUGACGGGUUGAAUAAAUUCUGGAUAAAGAGAACAGACUUCCUUGUUGAGCAACCCAGUACGUUUACACUGAGGUCAUAGCUACUUCCUCUUCCACAUUAAACGUGACACCUUCCUUUUUUUUUUUUUUUUGGCUUUGAACAGUGGAGUGUCAUCAUCACUGUAAGAAGAAACUGAAGUGAGCACAUCUGGCUGGGAGGAAGUAUGCAGGAAGUUGUAGACCUGGAGUGUUUUAGGAAAGCACA